rnacentral:rRNA from 1 species
UAACGCGUGGGUAACCUGCCUCAUACACAUGGAUAACAUACCGAAAGGUAUGCUAAUACAAGAUGAUAUAAGAGAUUCGCAUGGAUUUCUUAUCAAAGCUCCGGCGGUAUGAGAUGGACCCGCGUCUGAUUAGCUAGUUGGUAAGGUAAUGGCUUACCAAGGCAACGAUCAGUAGCCGACCUGAGAGGGUGAUCGGCCACAUUGGAACUGAGACACGGUCCAAACUCCUACGGGAGGCAGCAGUGGGGAAUAUUGCACAAUGGGCGAAAGCCUGAUGCAGCAACGCCGCGUGAGCGAUGAAGGCCUUCGGGUCGUAAAGCUCUGUCCUCAAGGAAGAUAAUGACGGUACUUGAGGAGGAAGCCCCGGCUAACUACGUGCCAGCAGCCGCGGUAAUACGUAGGGGGCUAGCGUUAUCCGGAUUUACUGGGCGUAAAGGGUGCGUAGGUGGUCUCUUAAGUCAGGAGUGAAAGGCUACGGCUCAACCGUAGUAAGCUCUUGAAACUGGGAAACUUGAGUGCAGGAGAGGAAAGUGGAAUUCCUAGUGUAGCGGUGAAAUGCGUAGAUAUUAGGAGGAACACCAGUAGC